CGGGACAAGGAGACAGGUGGUGCAUGGUUGUCGUCAGCUCGUGUCGUGAGAUGUUGGGUUAAGUCCCGCAACGAGCGCAACCCCUGUGGUUAGUUGCCAGCAAGUAGCGUUGGGCACUCUAGCCAGACUGCCGGUGAUAAAUCGGAGGAAGGUGGGGACGACGUCAAAUCAUCAUGCCCUUUAUGUCCUGGGCUACACACGUACUACAAUGGCCGUUACAACGGGAAGCGAAGGAGCAAUCCGGAGCAAAUCCCUUAAAGGCGGUCCCAGUUCAGAUUGUGGGCUGAAACUCGCCCACAUGAAGGCGGAAUUGCUAGUAAUUGCAGAUCAGCAUGCUGCAGUGAAUACGUUCCCGGGCCUU
rnacentral:rRNA from 1 species